rnacentral:rRNA from 1 species
CCUACGGGAGGCAGCAGUGGGGAAUAUUGGACAAUGGGCGAAAGCCUGAUCCAGCCAUGCCGCGUGUGUGAAGAAGGCCUUCGGGUUGUAAAGCACUUUCAGUGGGGAAGAAAGCCUUGGGGCUAAUACCCUCGAGGAAGGACAUCACCCACAGAAGAAGCACCGGCUAACUCCGGGCCAGCAGCCGCGGUAAUACGGAGGGUGCGAGCGUUAAUCGGAAUUACUGGGCGUAAAGCGCGCGUAGGCGGUCUGAUAAGCCGGUUGUGAAAGCCCCGGGCUCAACCUGGGAACGGCAUCCGGAACUGUCAGGCUAGAGUGCAGGAGAGGAAGGUAGAAUUCCCGGUGUAGCGGUGAAAUGCGUAGAGAUCGGGAGGAAUACCAGUGGCGAAGGCGGCCUUCUGGACUGACACUGACGCUGAGGUGCGAAAGCGUGGGUAGCAAACAGGAUUAGAUACCCCGUAGUC